ACCUGUAAACGAUUACGUGCCCUUAGAACCUGGAAGUCUUGGAGGUGUUCGUACUGCUGCGUAAGCUUCGUAGACGGUGCUACCUUCUCAAGACGGCUGUUGACAAGGGUCACCGCGCGAACGUGGUGGUCCUGGUUGUUGAAGACACUAGAAACAGAUGAGGCCGGUAACGGAGCAGUCGAAAUAGUGCGCAGUCGUCAGUGAGGGGGAUCCGG
rnacentral:SRP_RNA from 1 species